GAAUACAUGAAUAUGGGGGAAGUUUUCUGGGAACUUCCCCUUGUACCUAUAUUUCUUAGGACAAUAAUAUAUAAAUGAUUGAUCGCUCAAAUGUUAUAUUAGUAAAAGGUCAUAUAUUUAUCUAACAUAACAUUAAAGAUUUUAUUUAUCAUUUUUUUGUCUUGGGGUCUCUUGAGAAGUCAGAAUUGGUGCCACCAAGACAGAUGCUUUUGACAAUAAAUCCAUCAUUAUUUAUUUUUACAAGGAAAAUAAUAUUAUUGUUAUUGUUGUUGUUAUUGCUGUUAUUAUUAUUAUUAUUAUUAUUAUUUCUAACUUUUUAGCAUUCAGUAUUGAACUGUGAUUAUCUAUCUGUUUAUUGACAUUUCCAAGGAUAACAGAAAUAUUAAUUUUGAGAAGUUUGAAUUGUGGGUCCACCCACCACAGUCAUCAUUAUCAUUGAAGUCUACAUUUCCAUGCUUGCAUGUGUCAGACAGAUUUGUUGAGGCAGAUAAUCUAUGACCAGAUGCUCUUCCUGUCACCAACUCUCACUUACUUCCAAGCAAAGAAAAACAAACAAGAAAGAGAAGCUUUUAGUCGAAGAAUGACGAUAACACAUUGAUAAAAUAGAGAAAUUUACAGAUCCUCAACUCCCAUCAAAAGAAUUUUUUCUCAUGUUGAUAAAAAGAAACGGAGAACCGUAAUCCUUAUUAAGACACCAAGAAGUUGAUGAUAGAAGAGACAUCAAAGCAAAGAAAGAUUCCAGCAGAACUCCCAUCUUAACCAACCAGAUGCAAAUCAAUAAUGAUGAACUAUUUUCAAUUAAACACAUAUCUACAGAAUUACAAAUACCAAAGGAAGGAAACGAUAUCUCCAAAACAAAACCCCCAAAAAAAAAGUAUGAGGAAAAUUAAACAUAAAUAUAAAAAAUAUUUAAAUCUAAAGUUAUUCACA